CAGCCGUAAACAAUGUGCGUUAGGUGUGUCGGUAACCACGUGUUACUGAUGCGCCGAAGGGAAACCGUGAAACGUGCCGCCUGGGAAGUACGGUCGCAAGGCUGAAACUUAAAGGAAUUGGCGGGGGAGCACCACAACAGGUGGAGCCUGCGGUUUAAUUGGACUCAACGCCGGGAAGCUCACCGGAUAGGACAGCAGAAUGAUUGCCGGGCUGAAGACCCUGCAUGACUAGCUGAGAGGAGGUGCAUGGCGUAGACGUCU
rnacentral:rRNA from 1 species